UCAAAUAUCUGCCCUAUCAACUUUCGAUGGUAGGAUAGAGGCUACCAUGGUUUUGACGGGUAACGGGAACAAGGGUUCGAUUCCGGAGAGGGAGCCUGAGAAACGGCUACCACAUCCACGGAAGCAGCAGGCGCGCAAAAUUACCCAAUCCCGACACGGGGAGGUAGUGACAAUAAAUAACAAUAUAGGGGCCUUUCGGGUCCUAUAAUUGGAAUGAGUACAAUUUAAAUCCGUUAACGAGGAACAAUUGGAGGGCAAGUCUGGUGCCAGCAAGCCGGGUAAUUCCAGCUCCAAUAGCGUAUAUUA
rnacentral:rRNA from 1 species